GAUGAAGAACGCAGCGAAAUGCGAUAAGUAAUGUGAAUUGCAGAAUUCAGUGAAUCAUCGAAUCUUUGAACGCACAUUGCGCCCGCCAGCACACUGGCGGGCAUGCCUGUUCGAGCGUCAUUUCAACCAUCAAGCCCCCAGGGGCUUGUGUUGGGGCCCUGCGGCUGCCCGCAGGCCCUGAAAACCAGUGGCGGGCUCGCUAGUCACACCGAGCGCAGUAGCACAUCUCGCUCAGGGCGUGCGGCGGGCUCCUGCCGUGAAACCCCCCACUGUAACCCCAAAGGUUGACCUCGGAUCAGGUAGGAAUACCCGCUGAACUUAAGCAUAUCAAUAAGCGGAGGA
rnacentral:misc_RNA from 1 species